UUUUAGUAGAGACAGGGUUUUACCAUGUUGGCCAGGCUGGUCUCAGACUUCUGACCUUAGGUGAUCCACCCAUCUUGGUCUCCCAAAGUGCUGGGAUUACAGGCAUGAGCCACCAUGCCCGGACUGGACUCCUUCUUUUUUAUGGCUGCAUAGUAUUCCAUGGUGUAUAUGUGCCACAUUUUCUUUGACAUACCGAGGGAUUGCAUAUGUUAAAUGGAAAUUUUAUAAAGAAGCAACUCAAGAUUUUUCUGCUGCAAUUCACUUAGAUCCUAAUAACUGGUUAGCGUUGUAUUAUCGAGGUUGCUUAUUCAGAAAGAGUAACCCUUUUAGAGCGCUACAGGAUUAUAGUGUUUCAGCACACUCCUGGUUUAUGCAUGUGCCCAGCACAAUUGUGAGCAUAGAGUCAGUGCUCAGUAAACAGCCUCCAACAGAAUGAAUGAGUCCAUCCUGACUGAUGAAAUCCAGCCUGAGUCUAACACUCCAGAUAUGCCUGUGUUCACCUGGGUGCAAAGUUCUGGAAUCCCAUCAUCCUAGAUUAGACAGUGUCUAGAGAUGAAGAGACAACUAGAUUUCCACAGGGAAGAAGAGCUAAGCACUCAUAAAUGAUGGCUAUGAGAAUCUUGGUUGUUUUCUACAUCGGGGAAUAGUCUAUGCACAUCUAAAACUUUGGCUGCUGGCAAUUUGUGACUUUGAAACUGUCAUUUCUCUAGAAAGAACUAUUACUUUGGCUUAUGUAAAUAUUGGCCUCAUACAUCUGCUACACCUGGAUAACUACACGGAAGCUAUUUGGCAAUUUUCUGAGGCUAUUAGAAUUGAUCCUUUAUGUAUUCAAAGCUAUCUUUGUCGGGCGGAAACCUAUUUUAAGUUGCAUAAAUUGAAAAAGGCAGUAAAUGAAUUGUCUCGUGCUAUCCACCUUCAGCCAGAUGGAAUCCAAUUAUACAUAAGAAGAGGACAAUAUCUUCUUAUGAUGAAAUAUUAUGAUCUUGCAAAGUUUACUAUUUAUCAAAUAGCAGAAAUGGACAAAGGUCUCAGUGAGUUGAGUCCUAUGCAGCAAGCCCUUAUUUAUUCAUUUUGUGAAAACCAUGACAAGGCCAUUGAGGUCUUGGACGGAAUCAGCUGGAAUAGAGCUGAGAUGACCAUGUGUGCUCUAUUAGCAAAAGUUCAAAUGAAGGCCAAGAGAACCAAGGGACGUGGAUGGAGCUGGAAGCCAUUAUCCUCAGCAAACUAAUGCAGAAACAGAAAACCAAGCCCUGCAUGUUAUAAAUGGGAGCUGAACAAUGAGAACACAUGGACACAAGGAGGGGAACAACACACACUGGGGCCUGUAGGAAAAAGGGUGCGGGGAGACAGAGCAUUAGGAAAAACAGCUAAUGCGUGCUGGGCUUAAUACUUAGGUGGUGGGUUGGUAGGUGCAGCAAACCACCAUGGCACGUGUUUACCUUUGUAACAAACCUGUAUAUCCUGCAUAUGUACCCUGGUACUUAAAAUAAAAUAAAAAAAAAAUGAAACUGGGGCUGUCAGUCCUGGA
rnacentral:lncRNA from 1 species